UACGGAGGAUCCAAGCGUUAUCCGGAUUUAUUGGGUUUAAAGGGUGCGUAGGCGGAUUGAUAAGUUAGAGGUGAAAUGUCCGAGCUCAACUUGGGAACUGCCUCUAAUACUGUUGAUCUAGAGAGUAGAUGCGGUAGGCGGAAUGUAUGGUGUAGCGGUGAAAUGCUUAGAGAUCAUACAGAACACCGAUUGCGAAGGCAGCUUACCAAUCUAUAUCUGACGUUGAGGCACGAAAGCGUGGGGAGCAAACAGG
rnacentral:rRNA from 1 species